UACGGAGGGUGCAAGCGUUAAUCGGAAUUACUGGGCGUAAAGCGCACGCAGGCGGUCUGUCAAGUCGGGUGUGAAAGCCCUGGGCUCAACCCAGGAAGUGCACUCGAAACUGUCAGGCUUGAAUAUGGAAGAGGGUCGCGGAAUUCCCGGUGUAGAGGUGAAAUUCGUAGAUAUCGGGAGGAACACCAGUGGCGAAGGCGGCGACCUGGGCCAAUAUUGACGCUGAGGUGCGAAAGCGUGGGGAGCAAACAGG
rnacentral:rRNA from 1 species